ACUACCUCCUACGUCAGGGGAGGGGACCGGGCACAUGGUUCCGAGGUCAUGCUCCUCACUUAGAGGAUCGUGGGAAUGCUUACGGAAACACUUGUCACGGCGCUGCCAGCUGGAAUCGCUGCUUAAGAAGAGGCUGGAAAACUAGGGAGUGCGCGAUCAGAGACGGGAGGCUGGGGAGAGCAGGGAGGCAGAUGUUGUGUGUUAUCACUGAAACAAACACAAGCCAUCCAGUUGUGCACUUCAGCUACGUGCGGCUUAGCGUACUUCGAUAAUGCCUCCAGAAAGUCAGGGAAAGGAAAUACAGAGGAAGCUGGGCCUCUCUUCUACCACCUCGAAACUGUCCUGCUGCCAAACAGAUCUGGGAAAGCAGGUUUUAAUGAGAAAAUUCAAUUAAGAAAUAAACUUAAGUAACCCCAUAGCAUGCUGAGUGAAGAGAGGAGCCUUUCUCAAGUGUCUUAGUGCCGAGGAGUGGACCAAGGGGCUCUGAAAAAUGACCAAUGAGGCUUCCCGCCACUCAGAGGAAGCCAAGCUCAGAAAGGCCACGAAGACCAUCCUCGCUUAAGCGCGGGGCCAGAUUCCAAGGCCAGGUCUGCUCCGCCUCAUCCAUUUCUUGUGCUGCUUCCCAGUGAGACUCAGCAGAGGACACACGAGGCCACAUGAGGUACUCACAUCAGGAUCUCAGCUCUCUAACACAGGGAGGGGUGCAACGAAGGCAAGGACACAGGUGCUGUGCGUGACUCCCCACCGGGGCCGGCGGGCACUGGGUGGCUCAGAGAUCAUUAGGAACGGUCGCUCCCUCCCUUUCUCCUGGUUUCCCUUCUGUCCUCUGAUAGAGGAAAGUGGCUUAGAUCAUUCUCACAGGAAGAUUAAAUCCAGAGCAAGGGAAAGGGAUAGGAAUCCGUUUCCAAUCAAUGAUGGAAACCAGAUUCCCUCAUCAGUUGGGAUUCAUUCUUACAUGUUGUAAACAUCACAGAGCUCCACCCAUGGCUACAAGCGUUCAGGAGGUAUGAAGCAUGGUGGCACAUCCUGGGUGAGAGCUGCCUGUGGCCAAGAAGCCUCCCGGCUUGGGCUGGCCCAUCUGAGGGACAGGAAGCAACACGUCUCUUGGAAGUUAUCCCCAAAACUCCCAUCUCAGAAAGGUGAGAUAAAGCACAAGACUGUCCCACUCUUGUAAAUGUUCUAUAUUUACAGGAAUAAAGUUUUAAAACCAUCUUAGACAACUAUAACCUCCUUCCUGUAGAACAUACCCAUGUACAUUUGUACUCAUAUGGGAAAAUAUGGUAUCAAUUAUUAAUAGUAAAGUAUUUGAAUUAAAGGUCUUUUGUUCUUGAAGAACCACGGGAUCUCAGUUUCAGUGGCCUUGGAGUCCCACUUCCCCCGUAUGAAAUCCCUAAAGCACUAGGUGUUUUGACCCCUGCUUGAUCUUGACUAUGGGGAAAAUGCACCAUGUCCCCAGUCAGCCUGUGUCACGCGGUGCUGGCUGUUUGGCAGCUCUGCCUUACACUGCAGCCUCCAGCACAGAGAGUCCUCUGUCCAGAACCACCUCAAGGAUGUGCAAGUUCUCUGCCACAUGGCAUCCCUCAGACACCUGAAGUGAGCCAUCUCAGCCUCCCUCCAAGCAGCUUCCCUCCCGGCUGACACUCCCAGCUCUGCUGUGUCCUGCACAUGGCACGCUUCCGAGACCACUCGCCCUCGGCUGUCCCCUGGGGUUCAUGCCACUGGAUCACUGGGUGCUUAAUAGGCGCCAACCAUUUCAGAAACCACCUCUUAUUCCCGUGAGAGCAACCCCUGCAAGUAUUCUGUUUUGGUUUUGUUUGUGCUUUUUCUUUUUGCAGGAAUCAAGGCCCUAACAUCCAGAACCUCAGCAGUCUCUCUGGCUGCCAUCCACAUCAUCUGCCCAGACACAAAGAGAGCGGGACAGGACCACAGCGUGGCCAGCUCGUGACCCAGCUACAGCCUUGGGUCUGUACUCUCCCUGCAGUCAGAGGAUGGGGACAGGUGGCACACUGCUGGCCUGAGCACAACAGGAGUCCGUUUGCUUGGGGACAUUUCUUGGAAAUAAAAAACUUGAAAACCACCCCUGACAACAUGUUAGUCCCUGGAAGUACUCAAUUACGGUGAAAAGCCAUCGGCAAAAGUUAAAGAAUCUACCCUAAUGAAACCACUCAAGCUGAUGAACAAAGAUGCCCACUGCUCUACCCACUGCUCCACGGCAAAAAAAACUGGAAAUAAUCUCCCCCAACAACAGGGAAGUGAUCAUCUACUGUGUAACCCUUACAAUUGCACAGUGUUAAAAACGUGGGAAAAUGUUUUAUGUUUAAUUAGCGAAACUGAAUAUAAAAAUUUACUAUCAAGUGAGUAAAAAAAUGCCCAAAUCCUGGAAAUGAUAUAUAAAAACGUUAACAGUGUUUUUCUUUAGGUGGAAAGAUUGAUUUUUUCCCCUCCUUUCAUAUGUAUUUAGUGAACUCCAAGUUUUUUCCAUCACAUGAUUUCAGUCUCUAAAAAUCCGUGAUCCAUCACGCCAACUGGAUUUUGUCAAUUUUACCCUCUAUGGUUUGUACUGUGCAAAACUAGGCUUCACUUUAUUUUCCAAACAAAAAAUACUAUUACUGAGUAUGUUUUCUCAAAUUACCACCCCACUGCCCAAAAAAUGACACCUGCCACACUCAAGAUUAUGGUGGCCCCCAGGAGGUGUGCCCAUCCCAGCCCUCACUGGGUGCAAGCUCUCUCUUUCUUCUAUCAUCCUUCUGCAGAGAAGGAUUUUGUAAUUGUUGUUGCUUUGUUUUAAAGUGGGAAAGAAAAAUAUUGACGAACUUAAAACUCGACAUAGACAGAGACAUUGGGCAGCACCAGACCUAAUCUUUUUUUUUUUUUUUUUU
rnacentral:lncRNA from 1 species